UGGAGAUUUGAUAAAGACCUGGGUACAGGUCGAAACAUUGUGGUGACCAAUAAACCUGCUUAAAUCUAUCACAGUGAGUGCCUGAGAUUUUUUCUUUUAUACUAGGGGACACUGAGACAAUAGGAGACAUGGGGACACUGAGAGACAUUGGGACACUGAGACACUGGGAGACUAGAUGACUUUGGGAGACUAGGAAACACUCAGACACUAGGGACACUGGCACACUACGGACACUGAGAGACACCAGGAUACACUGGGAUACUGAGAUACUAGGGACACUGGCUGGGAGACAUGUCUCCCAGGUCUCAAAGUCACCCAGUGUCCCAAUGUCUCCUUUUGUCCCCCAGUGUCUCGAUGUCUCUCAGUGUCCCCUAGUGUCUCAGUGUCCCCAUGUUGCCCAGUGUCCCAAUGUCUCAGCGUCCCCAAGUCUCUCACCGUCCCCAUGUCUCGCAGGCUUGGAGCUGCUGUCUGGACUCUGUGCAGAGCUGCUCCCCCGCGGAUCAGUGAGUAGUGAGAGGCAGGGAGGGAGAUGCUGUAACUUCUUAUCCCUGCCUCUCUCCACACAAACAGC